rnacentral:lncRNA from 1 species
AUUUAAGAUAAUGUACUUUCAAUUAAAAUUACAAUGUAAAUAUAAAAAUUACAUAGUAUUUAAGAAACAUUUUAAAAUUGACUAAAAAAAUCUAAUAUAGUAAAAAACAACUAAAUCAAACUAACAUUGAUAACUUAAACAAAAGUCACUGUAAAACAUUAUCUUGCUUCAAUUUCAACUUCGUCUUGCUUCAGUUUCAACUUUUUGAAACCAAUUUUCUGGUACUUUACUAUUUGGUAGGUCCUUAGAAUCAUAAAUGUCACAAAUGCAAUAAAAUUAUAUGAGAUGAAGUGGUAAUGUUUACCUCUUGAAGCCCCUUUUUUAUUAUUUCUCCCCUUCUAUCCCAGACUGUUUGAUUUAUUCCUUCCUUUCCCUUAUCUUCUGUUUAAUUAUUCUUUUCUUUUCUGUCCUCUUUUAAUGGUUUCCCCCCAUUUGGUAUUUAUUUGAAGGAAAAUAAAAUUUUAACACCAUUGCUUUACACCAUUUUGACAUUGUACACAUGUCGAAAUGUGGUCGGACGAUUUCAAAUUAAAAAAAUAAACUUUGGUUUUUUUUUUU